rfam:Hymenolepis diminuta genome assembly, scaffold: HDID_contig0000513
GUGGGUUAUGGUGAUAUGUUGCCCCGAACUCCCGUUGGUAAAGUUAUCGGAUCUGCAUGCUGUAUCUGCGGUGUCUUAGUAGUGGCUUUACCAAUUCCCAUCAUUGUCAACAAU